GUCAUUGUUGUGGGUACUCUAUAUGAAUUAAAAUACAAAUCUUUUAUAUUACCCUAUGAAGAAAUUCAGGCAUGGAGAAGUUAAAUAACUUGACUGAAGUCCCACAACUAGUAAGGAUGGAAACUCAGAAAAGAAACUUGAAAAUACAUAAUUUCAAGCUUCAGAAUGGAUAUAUGUCAACAAAAACCCAUCCAUUUGUUGGAAAAUUAAGUCCAUCAUAACUGCAGUUUUCUUGUAAAGAGCAAUAACAGCCUGGCAGGCACAGUGUUAUGUGUAGACUGGAUUGAAUCAAAGCAGCAUUCUCCUACUUUCCCUGUGUAUAGGAAGUGAUCCUAACAAGAAUCAGAUUUUCCUGGACCCAUAACAGAGGAAACAACUUCUGGCACAGCAAUUCUUUGAAAUGGAACCAUGAGGGCAAGUACUAACGUAUCCUUCUAUUGCAUGCAAUGCCUUAUGCACAAAAGUAGUU